AGUGAACGCUGGCGGUAUGCCUAAUACAUGCAAGUCGAACGGAAGCACAGUAAGAUUGCUCCCUUACGGUUGGCGAGGGGCGGGUGGGUAACGCAUACAUCGCCAACUUCUAUUUCGGGGGUGAUAACGGAGGACAGGUGACGCUACUAGCGCAUAUGUCCAACGGCUUGAAGCAGUAGAUAUUCGCAGCUUUGGCGUCUGAUAUAGCUGAUUCCGCGUCGCAUUAGCUAGUUGGUAAGGUAACGGCCUACCAAGGCUACGAUGCGUAGCUGAUCUGAGAGGAUGAUCGGCCACACUGGAACUGAGACACGGUCCAGACUCCUACGGGAGGCAGCAGUGGGGAAUCUUGGGCAAAGGGCGAAAGCCUGACCGAGCAAUGCCGCGUGAGUGAAGAAGGUCUUCGGAUUGUAAAGCUCUUUUGUUAGGGAAGAACAGCUGCGUGUUAAUCCCUCGCUGUUUUGACGGUACCCAAAGAGUAAGCCCCGGCUAACUUCGUG
rnacentral:rRNA from 1 species